rnacentral:rRNA from 1 species
CCUACGGGAGGCAGCAGUGAGGAAUAUUGGUCAAUGGGCGCGAGCCUGAACCAGCCAAGUCGCGUGAGGGAUGACGGUCCUACGGAUUGUAAACCUCUUUUGCCGGGGAGCAAGCGUGCGUUCGUGAACGCGCGUCGAGAGUACCCGGAGAAAAAGCAUCGGCUAACUCCGUGCCAGCAGCCGCGGUAAUACGGAGGAUGCGAGCGUUAUCCGGAGUUAUUGGGUUUAAAGGGUGCGUAGGCGGGAUGCCAAGUCAGCGGUAAAAAUGCGGUGCUCAACGCCGUCGAGCCGUUGAAACUGGCGUGCUUGAGUGGGCGAGAAGUGUGCGGAAUGCGUGGUGUAGCGGUGAAAUGCAUAGAUAUCACGCAGAACUCCGAUUGCGAAGGCAGCAUACCGGCGCCCUACUGACGCUGAGGCACGAAAGCGUGAGUAUCGAACAGGAUUAGAUACCCCAGUAGUC